GUGAGGAAUAUUGGACAAUGGAGGAAACUCUGAUCCAGCCAUGCCGCGUGAGUGAUGAAGGCCUUCGGGUUGUAAAGCUCUUUCGGGUGUGAAAAUGAUGAUGGUAACACCAGAAGAAGCCCCGGCUAACUCCGUGCCAGCAGCCGCGGUAAUACGGAGGGGGCGAGCGUUGUUCGGAAUCACUGGGCGUAAAGCGUGCGUAGGCGGUUAUACAAGUCAGGAGUGAAAUCCCAGGGCUCAACCUUGGAAUUGCUUUUGAGACUGUAUGACUAGAGAUCUAGAGAGGUUGGGGGAAUUCCGAGUGUAGAGGUGAAAUUCGCAGAUAUUCGGAGGAACACCAGUGGCGUAGGCGCCCAACUGGCUAGAUACUGACGCUGAGGCACGAAAGCGUGGGGAGCAAACAGGAUUAGAAACCCCGGUAGUCC
rnacentral:rRNA from 1 species